AACGAACGCUGGCGGCAUGCCUAACACAUGCAAGUCGAACGAGACCUUCGGGUCUAGUGGCGCACGGGUGCGUAACGCGUGGGAACCUGCCCUUAGGUUCGGAAUAACUCCCCGAAAGGGGUGCUAAUACCGGAUAAUGUCUUCGGACCAAAGAUUUAUCGCCUUUGGAUGUGCCCGCGUUGGAUUAGCUAGUUGGUAGGGUAAAAGCCUACCAAGGCGACGAUCCAUAGCUGGUCUGAGAGGAUGGUCAGCCACACUGGGACUGAGACACGGCCCAGACUCCUCCGGGAGGCAGCAGUGGGGAAUAUUGCACAAUGGGCGAAAGGCUGAUCCAGCAAUGCCGCGUGAGUGAUGAAGGCCUGAGGGUUGUAAAGCUCUUUUACCCGGGAUGAUAAUGACAGUACCGGGAGAAUAAGCUCCGGCUAACUCCGUG
rnacentral:rRNA from 1 species